rnacentral:rRNA from 1 species
GACGAGGGAUCCAAGCGUUGUUCGGAAUUAUUGGGCGUAAAGCGGAUGCAUGUGGCUCUGAUAGUCAGGUGUGAAAUCCCAGGGCUCAACCCUGGAAGUGCAUUUGAUACUACAGAGCUUGAGUGCUAGAGAGGUAAGUAGAAUACCUGGUGUAGUGGUGAAAUACGUAGAUAUCAGGUGGAAUACCGGAGGCGAAGGCGGCUUACUGGCUAGACACUGACACUCAGAUCCGAAAGCGUGGGGAUCAAACAGGAUUAGAACUACCUACGUA